UUACUGCAAUUCCUUGGGGUUCAAUACGGGGACUUUUGGGGAUCGUUUCGGGUCCCGGGAUCAGUUGGGGAACUUUUGGGGAUCGUUUCGGGUCCUUGGAUCAUUUCGGGUCCUGUACAGACCUCUUUCGUAGGAGGAAAGUGAAAUAUUACCAUACUUGAAAUGUUUUUUUUUCUACAGUGUUAUUUAUUUUAAAAACUCGAUAAAAAUAUAUCGAAUAGUUCACUGGAAUACGAUGUUUUUGUAUUAAAAAUUAAUAUUUACAUCUAAGGAAUAAACAACCACCACAAAUUACAUAAAGAAAGCGAACUGUCUGUGGAAUAUAAUUAUAGAACGGAUUUUUCAAUUCUAUUAUGGUGAGAAAGAGUUGCUAAAAGACUGGGGGAUCUUAUAAGGAAUUAUUCCUAAUCAGUCUUGACUGCUUAAUAAAUGCUUUGAAGUUAAACCUUGAUUAUUAAAACUUAGAAUUUCUAUGGUCUAUUUCUCAUAAACCAGUUUUUCAUAAAAGUAUUGUUGUGAAGUUGAUUAUGAAGAAAGCCCCAGUGCCCUAGUAAAGUGGUUUUCAUAAACCUGUGAAGCAAAGUGUAGCGUUAUUUAAAAAAAAAAAAAUAGUGUGUAGAAGUGCUAAAAUAAGCUACUUAUUAUUUGGCAGUAGCAAUUUUUUUCUCUGGUACAUGAAGAUAAAUAAUGUUAUUUAGAAGGCUAUAGUAAAGUUUUGAGUGCCCUUGUAAAGUGUUUACCACAAACCUAUGAAGGAGAGUGUAGUUUUUAGGCCAGCACACACAAAAAAUACAUUAGAGUGUACGAGUGCUAAAUAAGCUACAGUGUUUCAAAAGGGUUUGAAAAAACAUUGUAAAAAUGAAUUAUUUGGCAGCAGCCAAUUUUUCUCAGAGAGACGAAGAUGAAUAUGCUUCAAUCUUAGGGUGUCUGGGGUCAUGUUUUCCAGGAAAAUCUAAGUUUUUUUAGGCCCUAUCUUGCUUUUUAGGCUACAACUAUUGAUAUUCAAUCACUCACAUACCUGUUUCGGCAUAAAUCUAUUACAUAAGUGACAAGUGACAGUUUCGUUAAUAUCGAUUUCAACCACGUGAUUAUAAUCCAUUGUAAAUCAGUCAGAUCAACAGUAACCGAGAUCGGAACUCUGAAAUACAGCUAACCAGUACGAUUACAAAACCUACAGCUAACCAGGACUUUGAGAAUCAGAAAACACGAUCGGAUACGCCACAGAAAUCGAAUAAAUAUAUCUUUACACAUCGUUGGAUUGUUAUACGGUUUGUGGCGAAAUCCUCACGGGAACCUAACGCAACAAUACCUUCUGAGCUUGUUGUGGUGUAGGAAUCCAUUUCAAGUGAUCUGUGGUAACUGACAAAAUAAAAUGUUAUUUUUGUA